rnacentral:rRNA from 1 species
UCAGGCCUAACACAUGCAAGUCGAGCGCGCCUUCGGGUGAGCGGCGGACGGGUUAGUAACGCGUGGGAACGUGCCCUUCUCUACGGAAUAGCCUCUGGAAACGGAGAGUAAUACCGUAUACGCCCUUUGGGGGAAAGAUUUAUCGGAGAAGGAUCGGCCCGCGUUAGAUUAGGUAGUUGGUGGGGUAACGGCCUACCAAGCCUACGAUCUAUAGCUGGUUUUAGAGGAUGAUCAGCAACACUGGGACUGAGACACGGCCCAGACUCCUACGGGAGGCAGCAGUGGGGAAUCUUAGACAAUGGGGGCAACCCUGAUCUAGCCAUGCCGCGUGAGUGAUGAAGGCCUUAGGGUCGUAAAGCUCUUUCGCCUGUGAUGAUAAUGACAGUAGCAGGUAAAGAAACCCCGGCUAACUCCGUGCCAGCAGCCGCGGUAAUACGGAGGGGGUUAGCGUUGUUCGGAAUUACUGGGCGUAAAGCGCGCGUAGGCGGAUUAGAAAGUUGGGGGUGAAAUCCCGGGGCUCAACCUCGGAACUGCCUCCAAAACUACUAGUCUAGAGUUCGAGAGAGGUGAGUGGAAUUCCGAGUGUAGAGGUGAAAUUCGUAGAUAUUCGGAGGAACACCAGUGGCGAAGGCGGCUCACUGGCUCGAUACUGACGCUGAGGUGCGAAAGUGUGGGGGAGCAAACAGGAUUAGAUACCCUG